rnacentral:rRNA from 1 species
GACGUAGGAGGCGAGCGUUGUCCGGAUUCAUUGGGCGUAAAGAGCGCGCAGGCGGCUUGGUAAGUCGGAUGUGAAAUCCCGAGGCUCAACCUCGGGUCUGCAUCCGAUACUGCCCGGCUAGAGGUAGGUAGGGGAGAUCGGAAUUCCUGGUGUGAGCGGUGAAAUGCGCAGAUAUCAGGAGGGAACACCCGGUGGGCGAAAGGCGGGGU